rnacentral:rRNA from 1 species
UACGUAGGGGGCAAGCGUUGUCCGGAUUCAUUGGGCGUAAAGAGCGUGUAGGCGGCCAGAUAGGUCAGCUGUGAAAACUCGGGGCUCAACCCUGAGACGUCGGUUGAAACCAUCUGGCUAGAGUCCGGAAGAGGAGUGUGGAAUUCCCGGUGUAGCGGUGAAAUGCGCAGAUAUCAUUUGGAACGCCAAUGGUGAAAACAGGUAGCUGGGAGUGUGCUGACACUGAGACACGAAAGCCAGGGGAGCGAACGGG